UAAGGUUGGGUUAGGUAAGGUUAGGUUAGGUUAGGUAAGGUUAGGUUAGGUAAGAUUGGGUAAGGUUAGGUAAGGUUAGGUUAGGUAAGAUUGGGUAAGGUUAGGUAAGGUUAGGCUAGGUUAGGUAAGGUAAGGUACAGCAAGGUAAGGUUAGUUUAGGUAAGGUUAGGUUAGGUUAGGUAAGGGAAGGGAAGGGAAGGGAAGGUUAGGUUAGGUAACAUAAGGUAAGUUCAACUCUAUUAAGAUAAGGUAAGGUCAUUCUCACUAACAAUAUAGAUUCUUGAAACACAAUUAUAUCUGGCUUUAGAACACAUUAAGGUAAGGUAAGGUAAGGUUAGGUAAGGUAAGUUCAACUCUAUUAAGGUAAAAUAAGGUCAUUCUCACUGACAAUAUAGAUUCUUGAAACACAAUUAUAUCUGGCUUUAGAACACAUUAAGGUAAGGGAAGGGAAGGGAAGGGAAGGGAAGGGAAGGGAAGGUAAGGGAAGGUUAGGUAAGUUCAACUCUAUUAAGGUAAAAUAAGGUCAUUGCCACUGAACAAUAUAGAUUCUUGAAACACAAUUAUAUCUGGCUUUAGAACACAUUAAGGUAAGGGAAGGUAAGGUAAGGUAAGGUUAGGUAAGGUAAGUUCAACUCUAUUAAGGUAAAAUAAGGUCAUUCU